rnacentral:rRNA from 1 species
UACGUAGGGUGCAAGCGUUAAUCGGAAUUACUGGGCGUAAAGCGUGCGCAGGCGGCUAUGCAAGACAGAUGUGAAAUCCCCGGGCUCAACCUGGGAACUGCAUUUGUGACUGCAUAGCUAGAGUACGGUAGAGGGGGAUGGAAUUCCGCGUGUAGCAGUGAAAUGCGUAGAUAUGCGGAGGAACACCGAUGGCGAAGGCAAUCCCCUGGACCUGUACUGACGCUCCAUGCACGAAAGCGUGGGGGAGCAAACAGG